rnacentral:rRNA from 1 species
UACGUAGGGGGCAAGCGUUGUCCGGAAUCAUUGGGCGUAAAGCGCGCGUAGGCGGCCCGGUAAGUCCGCUGUAAAAGUCCAGGGCUCAACCCUGGAAAGCCGGUGGAUACUGCCGGGCUAGAGUCCGGAAGAGGCGAGUGGAAUUCCUGGUGUAGCGGUGGAAUGCGCAGAUAUCAGGAGGAACACCAAUAGCGAAGGCAGCUCGCUGGGACGGUAUUGACGCUAAGGCGCGAAAGCGUGGGGAGCAAACAGG